GGGGCCGUAUUUUGGUUUCGACGGGGAUGCGGAGGGACAGAGAAGCGAGCGGCGGCCCUGAACCGCCUAAAAACGGGAACUAAAAUGAACUGACAACUACGAUAACGUAGCUUUCGCCGCUUAAUCGGCGAUCGUCGACCCUAAGCCUCCUGCGGCGUAGGCCAUCGGCGUCAUAGUAGCAGGGAACCAGCCGGCCAAAGCUUUGAGGACGGUGGGAUUUUAUGAAGCUACUGAAACCGGAAUCCUGUCUGUGGGAGUCCGGCGGAGGGAAUGUUAAAACACAGACUGCGCUCGGAGAUGCUCUGGUCUUCUGGUCUUCGGACAGGGGUUCGACCCCCCUCGGCUCCACCA
rnacentral:tmRNA from 1 species